GAUGAACGCUAGCUACAGGCUUAACACAUGCAAGUCGAGGGGAAACGAUAUUGGAAGCUUGCUUCCGAUAGGCGUCGACCGGCGCACGGGUGAGUAACGCGUAUCCAACCUGCCCACCACUUGGGGAUAACCUUGCGAAAGUAAGACUAAUACCCAAUGACGUCCAUAGAAGACAUCUGAAAUGGAUUAAAGAUUUAUCGGUGAUGGAUGGGGAUGCGUCUGAUUAGCUUGUUGGCGGGGUAACGGCCCACCAAGGCGACGAUCAGUAGGGGGUCGGGGAGGAAGGGCCCCCACAUUGGAACUGAGACACGGUUCAAACUCCUACGGGAGGCAGCAGUGAGGAAUAUUGGUCAAUGGGCGAGAGCCUGAACCAGCCAAGUAGCGUGCAGGAUGACGGCCCUAUGGGUUGUAAACUGCUUUUAUAAGGGAAUAAAGUGAGCCUCGUGAGGCUUUUUGCAUGUACCUUAUGAAUAAGGACCGGCUAAUUCCGUGCCAGCCGCCGCCGUAA
rnacentral:rRNA from 1 species